AGUAGACGUUCAGAGUUUGAUCCUGGCUCAGGAUGAACGCUAGCUACAGGCUUAACACAUGCAAGUCGAGGGGUUUGCUUCGGCAAACGACCGGCGCACGGGUGAGUAACGCGUAUCCAACCUGCCAUUCAUAUUGGGAUAGCCCUCCGAAAGGAGGAUUAAUACCGAAUAACAUAUUGUUGUUGCAUGAUAUCAAUAUGAAAGCUGAGGCGAUGAAUGAUGGGGAUGCGUUCCAUUAGGUAGUAGGCGGGGUAACGGCCCACCUAGCCAACGAUGGAUAGGGGUUCUGAGAGGAAGGUCCCCCACACUGGAACUGAGACACGGUCCAG
rnacentral:rRNA from 1 species